UACGUAGGCAGCGAGCGUUGUUCGGAGUUACUGGGCGUAAAGGGUGUGUAGGCGGUCGUUUAAGUUUGGUGUGAAAUCUCCCGGCUCAACCGGGAGGGUGCGCCGAAUACUGAAUGACUUGGAGUGCGGGAGAGGUGAGUGGAAUUCCUGGUGUAGCGGUGAAAUGCGUAGAUAUUGGGAGGAACACCGGUGGCGAAGGCGGCUACCUGGACCGGUACUGACGCUGAGGCGCGAAAGCUAGGGUAGCAAACAGG
rnacentral:rRNA from 1 species